CAGAUUAUUGGCUUGAACAAUGUACCCCUUGCUGGUGACGAAUUUGAGUCUGUUGAUGACCUUGAUGUUGCACGCGAAAGGGCAAACGCGCGUGCCGAUGCAAUGAGAAUUGAAAGGAUAAAUGCGAAAGCUGGGGAAGGAAAAGUCACUCUGUCAUCCAUUGCAGCUUCCAUUUCAUCUGGGAAUCAAGUAGGGAUUGAUACGCAUGGGUUAAAUGUCAUACUUAAAGUUGAUUUUCAGGGUUCAAUUGAGGCCAUUAGGCAAGCCAUUCAAGCGCUGCCUCAAGAAAAUGUCUCUUUGAGAUUCCUACUUCAAGCUCCAGGAGAUGUGAGCCUCAGUGAUGUUGAUCUGGCUGUUGCUUCGGAAGGAAUUGUAUUUGGUUUUAAUGUCAAAGCUCCGGGGCCAGUUAAGAAAUAUGCUAAGCAGAAAAGUGUGGAGAUUCGAUUGUACAAAGUGAUCUAUGAUUUGAUAGAUGAUUUACGCAAUGCCAUGGAAGGGCUUCUUGACCUUGCUGAGGAGGAGGUACCACUCGGUUCAGCCAAAGUUCGAGCUGUUUUCAGUAGUGGCAGUGGAAAGGCAGCGGGUUGCAUGGUUACUACAGGGAAAGUUGUGGAAGGCUGCAAUGUUCGGGUUCUUCGUAAAGGAAAAGAAGUUUAUGUGGGUACACUUGAUUCCUUGAGACGGGUGAAAGAAACUGUGAAGGAGGUUGGUGCGGGGCUAGAAUGUGGUAUUGGGGUAGAUGACUUCGACGAUUGGGAGGAAGGUGACGUCCUUGAGGCAUUCAACACCGUGAAGAAGGCAAGAACGCUUGAGGAAGCCUCUGCGACUGUGACUGCUGCUCUCAAGGGUGCAGGCGUCCAGGUGUAG
rnacentral:rRNA from 1 species